AAUGCGCUACUCCACGUGACGCAGACUCCUACAUAAGAAUCACGACACGCAAUCACGCACAAGUAAUCCAAUCGCACACAUGCACACUCACAAUAUUCCCCGCCGAGAAAACUCUCCGCCUUUGAUCAGCGCGUUACCGUCAGUUGCAAUGAAUCGGCAUCAAGCUACCUUGUUGGUGAACCACAGGCCACCUAGCUGGGACACAGAUAUGCUAUGUGGUAAACAUCAUACAGCACAGUGUCUGGGUCUUCAGCCUUGUCAGCAUACAGCUACUUCAUGGCACCUCAUUGAAGAUAAGUCCAGCAGAGCCCAAUCAGCUUCGUGUAUACCACAUGGUAAGUCUGUGUCGGUCAGGAUGCAUGUGACUCACGUGGUGAUGAAAUGAAGGGGACAAGCCAAUGGAAUGGUGGCAAACUCCCAAGAUAU